rnacentral:rRNA from 1 species
GUUAGGAAUAUUGGACAAUGGGCGCAAGCCUGAUCCAGCCAUGCCGCGUGAGUGAUGAAGGCCUUCGGGUUGUAAAGCUCUUUAGUCCACGAAUAUAAUGACUGUAGUGGAAGAAUAAGCCCCGGCUAACUUCGUGCCAGCAGCCGCGGUAAUACGAAGGGGGCGAGCGUUAUUCGGAAUCACUGGGCGUAAAGCGUGCGUAGGCUGUUUUGUAAGUCAGAAGUGAAAGCCCAGGGCUUAACCCUGGAAUUGCUUUUGAAACUACAAGACUCGAAUUCGGGAGAGGAUAGCGGAAUUGUCAGUGUAGCAGUGAAAUGCGUAGAUAUUGACAUGAACACCAGUGGCGCAAGCGGCUAUCUGGACCGAUAUUGACGCUGAGGCACGAAAGCGUGGGGAGCAAACAGGAUUAGAUACCCUUGUAGUCC